rnacentral:rRNA from 1 species
UACGUAGGGGGCAAGCGUUGUCCGGAUUUAUUGGGCGUAAAGAGCGUGUAGGCGGUUCGGUAAGUCUGCCGUGAAAACCUGGGGCUCAACCCUGACAUUGCAUUCGAUACGGGCAGGCUUGAGUUCGGUAGGGGAGAUCGGAAUUCCUGGUGUAGCGGUGAAAUGACGCAGAUAUCAGGAGGAACACCGGUGGCGAAGGCGGAUCUCUGGGCCUUACCUGACGCUGAGGCGCGAAAGCUAGGGGAGCGAACAGG